UACGAAGGGUGCAAGCGUUAAUCGGAAUUACUGGGCGUAAAGGGUGCGUAGGCGGUUGUUUAAGUCUGUCGUGAAAUCCCCGGGCUCAACCUGGGAAUGGCGAUGGAUACUGGACAGCUAGAGUGUGUCAGAGGAUGGUGGAAUUCCCGGUGUAGCGGUGAAAUGCGUAGAGAUCGGGAGGAACAUCAGUGGCGAAGGCGGCCAUCUGGGACAACACUGACGCUGAGGAGCGAAAGCCAGGGGAGCAAACGGG
rnacentral:rRNA from 1 species